rnacentral:rRNA from 1 species
GAUGAACGCUGGCGGCGUGCCUAAUACAUGCAAGUCGAGCGAACGGACGGGAAGCUUGCUUUUCUGAUGUUAGCGGCGGACGGGUGAGUAAAACGUGGAUAACCUACCUAUAAGACUGGGAUAACUUCGGGAAACCGGAGCUAAUACCGGAUAAUAUUUUGAACCGCAUGGUUCAAAAGUGAAAGACGGUCUUGCUGUCACUUAUAGAUGGAUCCGCGCUGCAUUAGCUAGUUGGUAAGGUAACGGCUUACCAAGGCAACGAUGCAUAGCCGACCUGAGAGGGUGAUCGGCCACACUGGAACUGAGACACGGUCCAGACUCCUACGGGAGGCAGCAGUAGGGAAUCUUCCGCAAAGGGCGAAAGCCUGACGGAGCAACGCCGCGUGAGUGAUGAAGGUCUUCGGAUCGUAAAACUCUGUUAUUAGGGAAGAACAUAUGUGUAAGUAACUGUGCACAUCUUGACGGUACCUAAUCAGAAAGCCACGGCUAACUACGUG